rnacentral:rRNA from 1 species
UACAGAGGGUGCGAGCGUUAAUCGGAAUUACUGGGCGUAAAGCGUGCGUAGACGGCUAUCUAAGUCGGGUGUGAAAGCCCCGGGCUCAACCUGGGAAUUGCAUUCGAGACUGAAUAGCUAGGGUACGGUAGAGGGAAGUGGAAUUUCCGGUGUAGCGGUGAAAUGCGUAGAUAUCGGAAGGAACAUCAGUGGCGAAAGCGACUUCCUGGACCAGUACCGACGUUCAGGCACGAAAGCGUGGGGAGCAAAGCA